AUGUUUGUACCAUGUUUUGAGCUGCUAACAUGUUCUGCUGCUAUGUUGUGUUGCUACUGUGUUUUUGUCAUGUGUUGUUGUCUUAGGUCUCUCUUUAUGUUGUGUUGUCUCUCUUGUCGUGAUGUGGGUUUGUCCAAAAUAUUUAUUUUUUAUUCUAGUCGUCACUUACUGUGUUUGAACACUAGAGGGCACUGUGUUGCUGUGUGGUUUCAGCCCUCACCCCUCCAAUCUGUCUGUCUGUCACACCAGGGGCUGCCAGGACUAAGAGGUGUACAGGGCCUCCCAGGACCUAUUGGGCCCGCUGGAAAUCCAGGCACACCUGUGAGUUUGCCAACACUGUCAACCACACAAACAAAAACACAUACAUGCACGAUGCACCCACACACACACACACACACACACAUACACACACACACACACAAAGCUCCACUUUCCAAAGCACGUGUCUCAUUGAUGUCUCAUAAGCCUAAUUGUUGUGUUUCAGGGCAAAGCAGGAGAAGAUGGAAAACCAGGUGCUGCUGGGAAAAUGGGUGAGGAUGGCGUACCAGGGGAAGAUGGCAGAAAGGGUGACAAAGGAGAGGCUGGGGUUUCUGGAAGAGACGUUAGUAACUUGUUACCCUGUAUCUUUAUCUCUCCCCUCUCGCUCUCUUUCUAUGUUUGUACAAUGUCCUUUCUUUCCUUCCCUGCUGUCUCUCUCUUCCUCUCGCUCCCUCUUUGCCUCCGUCUUCAUCGAUCCUGCUCUCCUCGGCUCCUGAGCAUCUCUCGAUUAUCCCUGUUCCGUUUCUUUCUCGCCAUCAAUCCUCCUCCUAGUGUGUUUUUAUUAAGCGUACUCUCCUGUGACAUUGAUAUUUCUAUCACACCCUACCUUCACGGUGGAAUCAAUAGCGCUCUAAGCAGCAGCUGUAUAAAUGCAACGGUGGGUAAUGAUCAAGCUCUGCCUUUGAGGGCCAGCCCCUUCUGAGAGGGGAUCCGCACGGGCAUAGAAUGUCAAGGCUUUGGUUUCAUGUCCAAAUUCAUAGAAAUGAUCUAGGACAUCUGCCUCCUUUCUAGUUCAGGCCAGACCCCUUAGGAAUAGAAUAGAGUGUCCGUGCUGGUCUGAAGUUGUCAAGUGUGUGUGUGUGUGUGUGUGUGUUUCAGGGCCGUGAUGGGCUGAAGGGGGACCGGGGCCUUGGCGGGCCUGCAGGGCCAACUGGUCUAUCUGGGCCCCAAGGGGUCCCUGGCACCAUCGGACCUCCAGGACAGGUACAGAACAGUCAUAUGCCUCUGCUUCCUAGAAUGUGUGUAUGUGUCACUUGGUGCUCUGAUUAUACAUUUAUCUCUCUCCCCUCUCUUCUCUCUCAGGUGGUCUAUGCGAAGGGAGCUCCAACACCAUCUAUCCCUGGCCCUCAGGGGCCUCCAGGAAGCCCAGUAAGUUACUAUGUUGGAUAUGAGCCGUGCAGUAUAGCAGUAUAGCAUAGCCUGAUGUAGCAGUACUGUGUGCUUGUCUUAAGUACAUUUCUAAUGCACUCUGUUUCUGAUGCCCAUCUCUCUCUGUCUCUCAGGGUGUGCCUGGAAUCCCAGGGACCGCAGGAGCUAGAGUAAGGCAUUUCCAUAGAGAUCAUUUACUAUUAUUUAUUUCUAUGGUCAGUCAGUCUGCUCUAGCUCUCUCCAUCCAUCUGUCCUUCGGUCUGAUCUCUGACCCAUUCACUCUUGUAUUUCAGGGGGAGAGAGGAGCAGUGGGCAGUAAAGGUGAAAGGGUAAGUGUGUGUGUGUGUCUGAAAUAUGAAUGUGCACACAUGCUGUUUCCUGAGUGUGUGUAUGGGUGUAUGUGUUAGUGCAUCUUUAGUAUUACUGAUGUGAGAUGUUAUUGACAGGGUGACCCAGGAGAGGACGGGCAACCGGGCAGGCCUGGAACAGCAGUGGUAAGAAAAUACGCAUUCAAGAAAGGAGAAUAACCCCAGCAUGUGACUGAUAAAGGCAUGACCAUGUACUGUAUUCACUCCUCCUUGACACUGUUUGUGCCUCUCUCCCAUCAGGAUGUGCAGAAGGCCCUCUCUAACCUUGGCAUUGAGGUA
ensembl:lncRNA